GCCAAUGUGGUGGUGUGGUUUGAGCGUUGGACUAUGACUCUCAAAACCAGGGUUCAAAUCCCUGCACAGUCA